rnacentral:rRNA from 1 species
CCCUUAGACGUUCUGGGCCGCACGCGCGCUACACUGACAAAGGCAACGAGCUACUCUUCACCGAAAGGUGUGGGUAAUCUUUUGAAACUUUGUCGUGCUGGGGAUAGAUCCUUGCAAUUUUUGAUCUUAAACGAGGAAUUCCUAGUAAGCGCAAGUCAUCAACUUGCGUUGAUUACGUCCCUGCCCUUUGUACACACCGCCCGUCGCUCCUACCGAUUGAAUGAUCCGAUGAAUAUCAUGGAUUGAGGAUGCAAGCAGGUUCGCCUGUCUUCAUCUUCGAGAAGUGAAGUAAAUCUUAUCAUUUAGAGGAAGGAGAAGUCGUAACA